rnacentral:lncRNA from 1 species
GUUUUCCCUAUGAUUAUGGUUUCAAAAUUCUGUAUCGGGUUUAUAAAACAUCCUUUUGUGGUAUCAUAAAACUUGAACCUAUGGCUACAUAACCACUGUCAACUAGGCUCCCAAGUUAUACUCCAACUUGUUACCUCAUAACCAUUGUCAACUAGGACCCUUACUUAUACUUCAACCCAUGACCAUAUAAACACUGUGAACUCCGAGUCUGAGUUGCAAUGCGAUGGGAUUCUAAGGUAAUGGUUCCAUCUCGACACAUCAAAUGAAAUGUGUGGGUCUCUGAGCGUUAUCACAUCAUCGUGAACUCAAAUGUACCUUUAAAUUAUCACAAUGUCUACCUCAAACAAAAACACAAACACAUUUGGGUUUUUAUCCUUAAAGUUCUAACUCUAAACCCUAAAAAACCUUAAACCUUUUAAAAAAAGGCUGAA